GGCGUAUGUUAUUGUGUGUAUAUAGGGCAUAUGUUAUUGUGUGUAUAUAGGGCGUAUGUUAUUGUGUGUAUAUAGGGCAUAUGUUAUUGUGUGUAUAUAGGGCGUAUGUUAUUGUGUGUAUAUAGGGCAUAUGUUAUUGUGUGUAUAUAGGGCGUAUGUUAUUGUGUGUAUAUAGGGCGUAUGUUAUUGUGUGUAUAUAGGGCGUAUGUUAUUGUGUGUAUAUAGGGCAUAUGUUAUUGUGUGUAUAUAGGGCAUAUAGGUUAGUAGAUUUCUCUGGGUCUAAUGCAAAUCAUCAACACUUACAGGUUAGUAGAUUUCUCUGGGUCUAAUGUCAAUCAUCAACACUUACAGGUUAGUAGAUUUCUCUGGGUCUAAUGUCAAUCAUCAACACUUACAGGUUAGUAGAUUUCUCUGGGUCUAAUGCAAAUCAUCAACACUUACAGGUUAGUAGAUUUCUCUGGGUCUAAUGCAAAUCAUCAACACUUACAGGUUAGUAGAUUUCUCUGGGUCUAAUGUCAAUCAUCAACACUUACAGGUUAGUAGAUUUCUCUGGGUCUAAUGCAAAUCAUCAACACUUACAGGUUAGUAGAUUUCUCUGGGUCUAAUGUCAAUCAUCAACACUUACAGGUUAGUAGAUUUCUCUGGGUUUAAUGGCAAUCAUCAACACUUACAGGUUAGUAGAUUUCUCUGGGUCUAAUGCAAAUCAUCAACACUUACAGGUUAGUAGAUAUCUCUGGGUGUAAUGUCAAUCAUCAACACUUACAGGUUAGUAGAUUUCUCUGGGUCUAAUGCAAAUCAUCAACACUUACAGGUUAGUAGAUUUCUCUGGGUCUAAUGUCAAUCAUCAACACUUACAGGUUAGUAGAUAUCUCUGGGUCUAAUGCAAAUCAUCAACACUUACAGGUUAGUAGAUUUCUCUGGGUCUAAUGCAAAUCAUCAACACUUACAGGUUAGUAGAUUACUUUAGAAGAACACUACAGAGCACCAACAGCAAGACAAGAACACUACAGAGCACCAACAGCAAGACAAGAGCACUACAGAGCACCAACAGUAAGACAAAAACACUACAGAGCACCAACAAGACAAGAGCACUACAGAGCACCAACAGCAAGACAAGAGCACUACAGAGCACCAACAGCAAGCCAAGAGCACUACAGAGCACCAACAGCAAGACAAGAACACCAUAGAGCACCAACAGCAAGACAAGAACACUACAGAGCACCAACAACAAGACAAGAACACUAUAGAGCACCAACAGCAAGACAAGAACACUAACAGCAAGACAAGAACACUACAGAGCACCAACAGCAAGACAAGAACACUACAGAGCACCAACAGCAAGACAAGAACACUACAGAGCACCAACAGCAAGACAAGAACACUACAGAGCACCAACAGCAAGACAAGAACACUACAGAGCACCAACAACAAGACAAGAACACUAUAGAGCACCAACAGCAAGACAAGAACACUACAGAGCACCAACAGCAAGACAAGAACACUACAGAGCACCAACAGUAAGACAAGAGCACUACAGAGCACCAACAGCAAGACAAGAACACUACAGAGCCCCAACAACAAGACAAGAACACCAACAACAAGACAAGAACACUACAGAGCACCAACAGCAAGACAAGAACACUACAGAGCACCAACAGCAAGACAAGAACACCAACAACAAGACAAGAACACUACAGAGCACCAACAGCAAGACAAGAACACCAACAACAAGACAAGAACACUACAGAGCACCAACAGCAAGACAAGAACACUACAGAGCACCAACAGCAAGACAAGAACACCAACAACAAGACAAGAACACUACAGAGCACCAACAGCAAGACAAGAACACUAUAGAGCACCAACAGCAAGACAAGAACACUACAGAGCACAAACAGCAAGACAAGAACACUAUAGAGCACCAACAGCAAGACAAGAACACUAUAGAGCACCAACAGCAAGACAAGAACACUAUAGAGCACCAACAGCAAGACAAGAACACUAUAGAGCACCAACAGCAAGACAAGAGCACUAUAGAGCACCAACAGCAAGACAAGAACACCGACAACAAGACAAGAACACUACAGAGCACCAACAGCAAGACAAGAGCACUACAGAGCACCAACAGUAAGGCAGGCUAGUAGCCUGUUCUUCUCAUCUCUCUACUUGGUGCUUCCUCUCUGGUGCCAAUAUAGAUCUUCUCAGUGUGGCAACGUGAGAGUCUUCUAAGGCUUUAUGUUUCCAGAGAGACGUGAUGUUGUAUGAAUGACAGGGUUUCCUUCUAGACCAAUCAUACAGCUUAAACACACUUUCCACUGUUUGGCUAAAUUCCAAGGGCUUUAGCGUACAAACUACUAAGUCGCCUGGGUUUGUUAGCGUAUUAACUUCCUAGUCACCUGGUUUCUUUAGAGUAUUAACUACCUAGUGACCUGGUUUCUUUAGAGUAUUAACUACCUUGUGACCUGGUUUCAUUAGCGUAUUAACUACCUAGUGACCUGGUUUCAUUAGCGUAUUAACUACCUAGUGGCCUGGUUUCUUUAGAGUAUUAACUACCUAGUGACCUGGUUUCAUUAGCGUAUUAACUACCU